GAACGUCUUCAGGGCGGGGUGCGAUUCCCCACCGGCGGUAGGCAUGCGCAAGCAUGCGAGCCCGCGAGCGCUUGCACAUCGGAGUUGAGCGGAUCCACGCGAAACCCGCUGCGCAAGGUCAGCAGAUCCGGUGCGAUGCCGGGGCCGACGGUAUAGUCCGGAUGAAAGAAGACGGCC
rnacentral:ncRNA from 1 species